AUUGAACGCUGGCGGUAUGCUUAAGACAUGCAAGUCGAACGGUAACAGGUUAAGCUGACGAGUGGCGGACGAGUGAGUAACGCGUGGGAAUCUACCUUGUAGUGGGGGAUAAGCCAGGGAAACUUGGACUAAUACCGCAUACGCCCUAAGGGGGAAAGGCGCAAGUCGCUAUAAGAUGAGCCCGCGUCUGAUUAGGUAGUUGGUGGGGUAAAGGCCUACCAAGCCGACGAUCAGUAGCUGGUCUGAGAGGAUGAUCAGCCACGUCGGGACUGAGACACGGCCCGGACUCCUACGGGAGGCAGCAGUCGGGAAUAUUGGACAAUGGCCGAAAGGCUGAAGCAGCAACGCCGCGUGGAGGAUGAAAUACUUUUGUAUGUAAACUCCUGUAAGAAGGGAAAAUAUGCAGUUUUUCUGCAUUGAUUGUACCUUCAGAGUAAGCCCCGGCUAACUACGUG
rnacentral:rRNA from 1 species